CUGUCUGGGGGUAACAAACAGAAGUUCUCCCACCCCACCCCACCCCGCCUUUUUUUUUUAAAUCAACUGGUAAAAAGGAAACUAACUAUUAAGGAGAACAAAAAAAAAACUACUUAUGCUAACACAGAUAAGAAAGGGACAACUGCUCACUGAGGCCAAAGGCAGUCAAGAAGGAACUGGGGGGCGGGGGGGAAGAAGAGAGGCUGGUUUCAAUCUGAACACUGGCUCUUCAUUUUAGAAUUUAUCCCUUAAUUAGCUUUUAGAAAAAAAUCUGAUUUUGUCAAGAGUUACUGUACAUAUGCAUUUUCUAAAGCUCUCAGCCUUGGUCUAACUCUGCUCCCAUUAAAGUCAACCACUGAUUUCAGUGACAGCAGAGUUAGGCCAACUGCUUCAUACUUUGACAACACAGGCGGGGAUUUUCAAAUUUAAUCAAGGUGGUGGUAGUGGUGGUGGUGGUGAUGUUUAAUAUUACAGACUAUGCUUAGUGGAGAGAUUUCUUCAAAUCCUUCUCCUUCUGCCCCACAACUCAAUUACAUGGAAUCAAAGACGACGAGAUAUCUGGAGGGGGGCAAAAUGACAAACCGAGGGAGGAAACAGGGGUUUAGUACUUAAUUUUCAUCUUUUUCUGCACCUCACUCUGAACUUGGGCAGAAGCCACCAUUCCAAACUCUGAAGUGAAAGUUUUGCUUGGAAUGUUGAACUACCAUAAGUCACACAAAUGUAAUGUGCUGGUAGCGGACAACAAUACCCGCUUUACUCCACAAGUGUCACUCCUCAUCAAGAGUAAGGCAAUAUCUUUUAACACAGACCCAACUACCAUCAACUGAAUACUAUGAAAGACAGCCACAUAGCCAUGUAAUUGCUGCCUUUGAUGUACGUGUUAAACCAUGAAGAGCCUGGGGAUGUAACAGUGGAUCCCUAGAUUAAAAACUUUCAAUUAAAUUAUAUAUCCUAAAGUACUUAAAUAUUGCUGUUACAAUACAAAUAUCUGAAAGCCAAAAAAGUUAAAAUUCAGUUAUACUUUGAAAAGCGAUUCAAACUAAAUAUUUGUUUAGUGUAUCUGAGUGUCCAUAACAAAUGCCUUAGUUCACAGUUUAUUUUUUAAACUGACAGCACUGGCUAUGCAGCCUAUGCUCUAAAAAUAUAGUUAAGGUGGUUUCCUUCUUUGAUAUACAUCACUAAAAAACUAGCUGGAAAAUAGAAAUCUUCUCCCACACCACCCCACCCAAAAAUUGUUCUUCUGGAAAGGGGGUGGGGGGAGAGAAAUCAUCCUGAACCAAAACAAAAUGGUCAAAACAAAAAAAUUCACAGGAAGAUGUUUCAAGAAAAAAAGUCAAUCCAUUUUGGGAGAACCAAACUGGAAUGUUUCCGCUUCCUUACAAAUGAAACUGACCGGAGCUUACAGCUGGGCUGCCAGAGAGCCAGGGCACAAAGCCUCCUCUCUAGCUCCAGGGCCAGAGAGGCAAAAUGAUGGUUUCUGCCAUAGCUAGGAGGGAGGGGGGAGUUUGAGAGACCAAGUCAGGGUGCUCAGCCUUGACACCUGUCCUGGAAAGGUUUUAUCAAUUUCACUCACAGAAAUUUGAAUAGACAAAAGCCUUUGAGGCCUAAAGCCAGGGAACCAUCAUUUUGAUUUUCCUAAUAGAAAAACCAAGUUUUCAGCGACUCCAUUGUCUUCAGGGGAAUUACAAAGGUAAAAAGAUUGGAAAUUUAGCAAACAAUUCUUCUGAUGCACUCAGAGGAAGAGAAUUCAUCUUACAUCACUAGCUGCGUCAGUUCUGCAGGGCUAACACAUAAAAAACAGUAUAAGUAUUGUAACUAAAGGCAGCACAUAUGACUGAAUAUAUCCAAGGAGCUAUUCUGUUGUGUCAGUAAGUGCCAUUAGACCCUUGUUUUAAUGAGAAAAACCCAGGCUACAUGAUUAUACAAGAAACUCCAAACACUGAAAAAUAUAUUACAUAUAUAAAAAUGCUUGUUUAAAGAUACUCCAAACCACCACUACUCCGCCAUUCUGUGCAUCUUCCACGUACAAAAA